rnacentral:lncRNA from 1 species
UUCUCUGUAAAACUAUAUCUUUUAUUGAGCUCGUGUCCACACACACACACACCACACACACACACACGCACACAGGAAGAAAAUGGUGGCUGCAUUCCAAAGAGUUCCAGGCUCCUCUCCUGAGAGUUAACUGGAUACAGUGUAUUGUCAGAAAGCCCUUGGGGCUGCUUGUUCAAGAAGUUUUGCUGCCACACCAAUUAGAAGCCGUUUACAGAAUUUUAAGAAGCUCUCCCUUGAAAGGCCGACUUCCCCAAGCUUCUACAGGACAAGAUUCUCUCGGGGCUAAGGUCAUCCUGUCCCACCACAUGCCUAAAGCUGUUGGAGCCGAAUGUUUCCAAAGACAGACGAUCUUGUCAUCUUUGGCUAUUUAUGUCUAGUCAUGUGGUGACAUGUGGAAUCCUAGUUCCCUCGCCCUUCUCCCCUGGCACUGAGUGAUCAUCGUAGAUAGUGAGUUUAACCUGUCCUGUUACGGGGAUGCCUAUUCGGUCCACGGAAAGGUGCCGGCCAUGCCUAUUUAACUCAGCCACCCUCAUCCGUAGAAACACAGUCAGGUGGAGAAUGACGUCGGCCAAACAGGUGGGUGACGUCGCCUUCUGUGUCCUUGACUGGGGCCACGAAAAAUGCUUGGGUUUGCAGAAUAAUGGACAUAGCUAUUCUUUUCCCAGGGAUGUGGGCGGAGCAGAGCUCUUACUAAUUAUUGACAGAGAAGUCCCUGGGCCUCAGGGCCAUCCUGAAUGCUUCAGUCUGGGAAGAGAAUCCCAUGCGAUUCUGUGGGAGAGAGCAGCUGUGAGAAUGUAGAACCCAGACAGACUGCCGAUGUCCUAACAUCUUUGCGAUAGAGAGAGAUUGCGUCCAUGCGGAGGGCGAGUGGGGGAAAUGACGGAUUGAAAGACGGGUUCUGGCCUUAUGGACACAUCGCAUUUCUGAUUCACUAAGGCCCGAAAUGGCCCUCAAUCUUUAAUAACUCCUUUCAUGACAAAUAUCUCCAGCUACCUUUCAAAACUGUAAGAUCUCAAGGGGGGAUACGGAAAUGGGCUAAACUGGUUUGUUUUGUUUUGAUUUGGUUUGGUUUUUUGCAAGUUGGAAUCUAAACGAUGAAAAUUGGCAUUUCAUCUUUGCUAAAGUAAAUGAAGUGCGGAUCUCCCAAAUAAAUACUUACAAACAAAAUGCA